rnacentral:rRNA from 1 species
UAAAAACCCCGACUUCGGAAGGGGUGUAUUUAUUAGAUACAAAACCAAUGCCCUUCGGGGCUCUUUGGUGAUUCAUGAUAACUAUACGAAUCGCACGGCCUUGCGCCGGCGAUGGUUCAUUCAAAUUUCUUCCCUAUCAACUUUCGAUGUUUGGGUAUUGGCCAAACAUGGUUGCAACGGGUAACGGAGGGUUAGGGCUCGACCCCGGAGAAGGAGCCUGAGAAACGGCUACUACAUCCAAGGAAGGCAGCAGGCGCGCAAGUUACCCAAUCCCGACUCGGGGAGGUAGUGACAAUAAAUACUGAUACAGGGCCCUUUCGGGCCUUGUAAUUGGAAUGAGUACAAUUUAAAUCCCUUAACGAGGAACAAUUGGAGGGCAAGUCUGGUGCCAGCAGCCGCGGUAAUUCCAGCUCCAAUAGCGUAUAUUAAAGUUGUUGUGGUUAAAAAGCUCGUAGUUGAACCUUGGGCCUGGCUGGCCGGUCCGCCUCACCGCGUGCACUGGUCCGGCCGGGCCUUUCCCUCUGUGGAACCCCAUACCCUUCACUGGGCGUGGCGGGGAAACAGGACAUUUACUUU